rnacentral:misc_RNA from 1 species
AGAAGAGCGAGGUCCUCCUCGGGAUCGGUGACAAAAUCUAGGUGGGAGGCGUCGUCCUCGUCCAAUCCCGACGAUAAAACUUGCCCCAAUUGUUCAGUCUUUGCUAUAGUCGACGAUGAGGAAGGUGAAGCGCAUGUGGUCUGCACGGACGUUGAAUUUCUUAAGGAGGUAUCGAUGGUGUUGUUGUUGUUGUUGUUGUUGUUGUUGACGUUGUUGUUGAUGUUGGACGACGUGAUCGUUGCGGUGGAUGAGGAGGAGGUCGUCGACGACGACGCGUUUACGGAAGUACUGGUAACGUGAAGACGAUGAAGAGUAAGGUAGGUCUCGAGUGCUUGGAGAUUCAAAGCGGCAGCGGCGGCGUGACCCGGCGGAAGAAGAGCCGCUCGUUGAAGAGCGGCGAGCAAAGCGCCCUGAAGACUCAGUGCGACGCUCUGGAGGGUCCCGGGGAGCCGAGUCGCCGCCGAUAAGAAGUGAGGAUUAAAGGUGGCGGAGGGGGAAGCGGAGGAGGUGGAUUUUGCAGGGAGGAAAGUCCACCCCCGCUCGUCAUCGUUGACGAGGGUUUCACUUGAAGCAAAUCCCGUCUUAUUUGCAACUGAGGUCUGUUUUGCAUGGGGGGUUGGGGCGGUGGAGGGGGGUAGCUCGACGAAGGGUUAUUGCUGCCGUUGUUCCCGGUCGUCGAGGAAGACGCGGACGUCGAAGAGGACGGUCCGGGUAGAGAGGGAGCGUUCGAAGAAGACGAGGGACCGGAUUCGGGGCCGCAAUCUUCUUCGGGGCUGUCGUCGUCCCUCAUAGCUUCCUCGAGGGCCUCGGGCGGAACGUCGCCCACGGCGUGCGUCAGCGCGUGUCUUCUGAGAUCGCAGUUCCUGCGGAAGACCUUCCCGCACGACGUGCACUCGUAUGGCUUGUGAUCCGUGUGCGUGAGUAGGUGAGUUUUCAGGUUGCUUCUCUGGUUGAAACUUCGGGCGCAAACCGGACAUUUGUGGGGCGACUCUUCCAUGUGGAGGAUCUUGUGAACCGCCAAUGUCCGACUCUGGCAGAAGCCCUUGCCGCACUCCCCGCACUUGAAGGGUUUUUCCUUACUGUGGAUAUACCUGCGAGUAAAAAGUAAAGAGAAAUUUUUAUCAUUUUUGUAUUGGGAUCGCGUCGAUCGCAUGCGACGCGUUUUGGAGUCAGGUGAAUUUCGGUAGACAGUAGGCACGUAUUGAUUUUCUUCUUUUCUUUUUUUUUUUUGUUUUUCUAUCUGGUAAUCUUACACGAGGAUACGAAGUGAGCUACUAGGUACGUGUAUCGUGUGUAUGUUAUAUAGUCUUGGUGUAAAACGACACUCGAAGUGAACCCGGUUGCGAGUUGCGCAACGCCAUCGGUCCUAAUUUCUAUACCGAGUAAUUCUAUAGCGAGAAGCUACGCGUUACAACGAAUGUACAACGAGCUAUGUUAA